AUUCACAUAAAUGCAUAAGCUCUCUUGUUGUUUUUCCUCUUCCCCUCCUCUCCUCUGUUUUCAUGAAAGCAAAAUAAAAGCAAAUCAUUCUGAGCUUAACUUUACAGGUUGGGCCUCGUUUGGCACAUGCCAUAAUAGUACUAUUUAAUACGAAUCCGGAGAAACAGAGGUGGCAGAGGGGAGGUGAGGACGAGCUAAUAAUAAUUUAGAAUAAUUGAUAAAAGAAGAGGAUGGAACUUCUGCAGCUGUUCGUGACGGCCUCAAUUCCGGUGUUGAAAGUGCUUUUGAUAACAGCACUUGGCUCUUAUCUUGCUCUUGAUCGUGUCGAUAUUUUGGGGGAAGUUACUAGAAAGAACUUAAACACUGUUGUAUUUUAUGUGUUCAGUCCUGCUCUCGUGGGUUCCAACCUUGCGAAGACAAUUACAUAUGAAAGCAUGGUUAAAAUGUGGUUCAUGCCAGUGAAUAUCCUCAUCACGUUUAUAAUUGGUUCCGUGCUCGGAUGGAUUCUCAUCCAAUUAACAAGGCCUCCUGCACAUCUGCGAGGCCUUGUCUUGGGUUGCUGUGCUGCAGGAAAUUUGGGUAACUUGCUCCUCAUUAUAGUCCCAGCAGUUUGUAAAGAAAAAGGGAGCCCGUUUGGAGCUCCUGAUGUCUGUCACACAUAUGCUAUGGCUUAUGCUUCGCUCUCAAUGGCGAUAGGAGCCGUGUAUUUGUGGUCCUAUGUAUAUAAUAUUGUGCGGAUAUCUUCAACAAGGGGCACCCAAGAUUCUAAUCAGUCCGCCGAGAGGUCCCCUACAUCCGACCAAGUAAGUUGCACUGAGCCGCUGCUUUCUUCAAAGGAAUAUGUCAUAGUUGAGGAAAAUGGGGAUCAAUAUUCACUGCCAUACACUGCUGCGCCUGAAGAAAAACCAAAGGCGACGACUUCAGGUAAACUAAAGCAACGUAUAGUGAUGGUGUUUGAAAAGAUCAAUCUGAAAACAAUAUUUGCCCCUUCAACUAUUGGAGCGAUUGUUGGUUUUGCAAUCGGAGUCAUUCCUCAGAUUCGAAAAUUACUGAUAGGAGAUGGUGCUCCUCUACGGGUGAUUCAAGAUACUGCUUAUUUGUUGGGGGACGGAGCCAUCCCAGCUCUCACUUUGAUAAUAGGAGGAAACCUACUUAAGGGUUUGAGAGGGUCAGGGAUUCAGAAAUCUCUUGUCGUUGGCAUCAUCGUUGUUCGUUAUGUUGCCCUGCCUCUUAUAGGCAUAUUGGUUAUUAAAGGGGCACUGAAAUUUGGGUUGGUGCACUCUGACCCAUUAUAUCUGUUUGUUCUUCUGCUUCAGUUUUCACUCCCACCUGCGAUGAACAUAGGAACAAUGACGCAAUUAUUCGGAGCAGGAGAGAAUGAAUGUUCAGUUAUCAUGCUGUGGACUUAUGCUUUCGCGUCACUGUCGCUUACAUUUUGGUCUGCCGCCUUCAUGUGGACUGUGACACGACUGUGAAUCAAAAUUUUACAUGAAUUCUUUCUAAUACAAGUGUAGGCAAUUUGUCAGAAGAAAUAUUACUUGGCAAAACUGUAAACAACAAAGGCACUUUUGGUCCUGUAAUGUGUAAUCAGAUUUCGGAAUUAAAUGCAAAGUUGAGCAAUCCACUCUGCCAAAUCAAUCGCAAGUUGUAGCUGCAAAUAUGCUUGACCAGAAGAAAUUGAUGUGGCAUGUCUUGGCAUGUGAUGGGAACUUGGGAAGGCAUAAGUAAGAUUGGUGCAAUCAGCAGCACAUAUUUCUGGAGCAGGAACAAUGACUGGUCAAUUUGAUCGGAGCAGGAGCCCGUGAGUUUUCAUUUGGCAAAGCUUAGUGGCCCGAAUGUAAAACCGUACAGCAAAACGUGAUUAAAGUAAAACGUUACAUCAA